rnacentral:rRNA from 1 species
AUUGAACGCUGGCGGCAGGCCUAACACAUGCAAGUCGAGCGGAAACGAGUUAUCAGAACCUUCGGGGGACGAUAACGGCGUCGAGCGGCGGACGGGUGAGUAAUGCCUAGGAAAUUGCCCUGAUGUGGGGGAUAACCAUUGGAAACGAUGGCUAAUACCGCAUGAUGCCUACGGGCCAAAGAGGGGGACCUUCGGGCCUCUCGCGUCAGGAUAUGCCUAGGUGGGAUUAGCUAGUUGGUGAGGUAAGGGCUCACCAAGGCGACGAUCCCUAGCUGGUCUGAGAGGAUGAUCAGCCACACUGGAACUGAGACACGGUCCAGACUCCUACGGGAGGCAGCAGUGGGGAAUAUUGCACAAUGGGCGCAAGCCUGAUGCAGCCAUGCCGCGUGUGUGAAGAAGGCCUUCGGGUUGUAAAGCACUUUCAGUCGUGAGGAAGGUGGUAGUGUUAAUAGCACUAUCAUUUGACGUUAGCGACAGAAGAAGCACCGGCUAACUCCGUGCCAGCAGCCGCGGUAAUACGGAGGGUGCGAGCGUUAAUCGGAAUUACUGGGCGUAAAGCGCAUGCAGGUGGUUUGUUAAGUCAGAUGUGAAAGCCCGGGGCUCAACCUCGGAAUUGCAUUUGAAACUGGCAGACUAGAGUACUGUAGAGGGGGGUAGAAUUUCAGGUGUAGCGGUGAAAUGCGUAGAGAUCUGAAGGAAUACCGGUGGCGAAGGCGGCCCCCUGGACAGAUACUGACACUCAGAUGCGAAAGCGUGGGGAGCAAACAGG